rnacentral:rRNA from 1 species
UACGUAGGGGGCAAGCGUUGUCCGGAUUUAUUGGGCGUAAAGAGCGUGUAGGCGGUCAGGUAGGUCCGUUGUGAAAACUCGAGGCUCAACCUCGAGACGCCGAUGGAAACCAUCUGACUAGAGUCCGGAAGAGGAGAGUGGAAUUCCUGGUGUAGCGGUGAAAUGCGCAGAUAUCAGGAAGAACACCAGUGGCGAAGGCGGCUCUCUAGUACGGUACUGACGCUGAGACGCGAAAGCGUGGGGAGCAAACAGG